UCCGCAGCAUAGGAGCUGCGAUUGCCAGCCAACGGAGAUCGUGUGGCAGCCAUCUCGCGUCGCCACGAAAACACGACAGUCGUUCGUCAUGCCUUGGAUAUAACAGCAAAUCCUCCACGGCACCCGCUUUAUAGAACACAAGAAGGCAGCUGCAAGGACACGAGGAUGUGAAAGAGCCAGUGCAGCGUGACUUCACGUAGUGCAGAGGAGCCAAUGCCAAAAAAUCUAAAUACAUUGGCAUGCAAUUUGGACAAGAAAACUAGUAUGUGGGUAUAUUGGGUGUACCAUUUGACCAAAUGUAAACAAAAUCAAGAUACAGUAUGUUACACCAAGAUGAAAAUUCUCACGUGCUCCAGGCAGUUAUCUUAACAUGGUAUACUUAUGUAAUGUCUCCGAUUGGAAAGUCAAAUCAAGUAUGCUCUCUGGAGACAAACACAUAGCAGCAAGUGUCAUUGAAAAGUUAGAGAUGUGUUUUAAAAAAGCUGAUUAGUUCUGAGAAGUGACUGCUUUUUGUCUUGCCUCUCAACAGAUAGAUCCAUGUGAUAAAAAAAUAGUUGUACAAUGAAAUUGCAUAUUUGCUUAGUGACAUGAUACAUACUUGCAAUGAGCACGGUGCCUGUGUUUACUAUAAAAAGCAACAGCCCAUGCUUGGUUAGGUUAGGCCCACUACAACAUACAGGCAUGGGUGAUUGGCGCUUUUUUUUAUUUCUGUGUCGUGAGGUUUAUUGACAUGCGUAUAGGUGCAAUGGCACGCAGUAUGGCUAGUACAGAAGGGGGGGGGGGGGGCAGAUAUAUGUAGCUCACUGUACACGACACAGGGCAAAGGAAAUCCGUGUUCAGCAACUAUGUUAAAUGCCAUGUGCGUAAAUUUUACAACGCUACUCAUUCGAAGGGUGCACAGGUGCAUAUUGAAGAAAAGUUUUCCAGGGUACAUAAUUUAGUGCGUAAUUUACACUAAUUUUGCUCUAACCACAAGACAUAAUAAUUUGAAUAUACUGCACGGAAAAACCUAGAGCGAAUUAAAUUGUGUGUCAGCUUCGUGUGUAUACAUAUAGUCUUUCCUAUGCGUUAGGUUUUUCGCGUAAUGCAUUACUAGUUGACAGCCUAUCUUAUCAUGUGUACUCUGUUUACAUUACAGUUGUUUAUUAGUUUACUCAUAGUUUUGCAACUUAUGAAAUGCCGGUGUAUAUAUAUUUUCAACAUUUGACAUAACCCUGUAUGUUUUGUAGGGACAACCCAGGACGUGCAUUUCUCAGCACCCCGUCAACUGCCAGAAGUGACUCGAACACAGGCCACCAGUGGCACUCGGCUGUACCACUGCAGUGCUGCGGAAAUUGCCAGCACCAGCGGCUUUGCAACAGCUGUUUCAC